rnacentral:rRNA from 1 species
CCUACGGGUGGCAGCAGUGAGGAAUAUUGGUCAAUGGCCGGAAGGCUGAACCAGCCAUGCCGCGUGAAGGUCAGUGCCCUAUGGGCGUUAAACUUCUUUUGUGCGGGAGCAAUAAUGGUCACGUGUGGCCAGACGAGAGUACCGUACGAAUAAGCAUCGGCUAACUCCGUGCCAGCAGCCGCGGUAAUACGGGGGAUGCAAGCGUUAUCCGGAUUUAUUGGGUUUAAAGGGUGCGUAGGCUGUGAGGUAAGUCAGCGGUGAAAUGCCCCCGCUCAACGGGGUGAAGUGACAUUGAUACUGCCUGGCUGGAGUGCGGAUGCCGUGGGAGGAAUGUGUGGUGUAGCGGUGAAAUGCAUAGAUAUCACACAGAACACCGAUUGCGAAGGCAUCUCACGAAUCCGCGAUUGACGCUGAUGCACGAAAGCGUGGGUAUCAAACAGGAUUAGAUACCCUUGUAGUC